ACGGGAGGCAGCAGUGGGGGAUAUUGCACAAUGGGGGAAACCCUGAUGCAGCGACGCCGCGUGAGCGAAGAAGUAUUUCGGUAUGUAAAGCUCUAUCAGCAGGGAAGAAAAUGACGGUACCUGACUAAGAAGCCCCGGCUAACUACGUGCCAGCAGCCGCGGUAAUACGUAGGGGGCAAGCGUUAUCCGGAUUUACUGGGUGUAAAGGGAGCGUAGACGGUCUGGCAAGUCUGAUGUGAAAGGCAGGGGCUCAACUCCUGGACUGCAUUGGAAACUGUCAGUCUUGAGUGUCGGAGAGGUAAGCGGAAUUCCUAGUGUAGCGGUGAAAUGCGUAGAUAUUAGGAGGAACACCAGUGGCGAAGGCGGCUUGCUGGACUGUUACUGACACUGAGGCACGAAAGCGUGGGGAGCAAACAGGAUUAGAUACCCUGGUA
rnacentral:rRNA from 1 species